AAAGGAGAGACAUAGACAGAGAGGGAGAGAUGGGAGAGACACAGACAGAGAGGAGACAGAGACAGGAGAGACACAGACAGAGAGGAGAGAGACAGAGAUGGGGGAGACACAGACAGAGAGGAGAGAGACAGAGACAGGAAAGAAGAAACACAGAGAGGGGAGAGACAGACAGAGACGGGAGAGACACAGAGAGGGGAGAGACAGAGACAGGAGAGACAUAGAGGGGGGAGAGAGAGAGAGAGAGAGAGAGAGAGAGAGAGAGAGAGAGGAGAGAGACAGAGGAGAGAGACAGCCACAGAGGGGACAGAGCAGGGACAGGGGGCGUGAGUGUGGAAUGCCUAAGGAGCUUGGUGCAGACCAGACUCCGGUGUGGAAGGUCCUGAGCGGCAGCCUCUGUUGGCCUGCCCACCCAGGGAGCCGUAGGAGGAGCUGUACAUGGGGCUCCCAAGGGUCAGGACAAAGCCCCCACCUGCAGGACCUGGGGCUGCUGCUGUGGGAGGCCCUGGGGGCAGUGUCCGGAGGCUGCAGCACCUGUCUUUGGUCUGGCCACCUCUUAGUGCCCUUCGCUGCACACAUGCUCCUGGUCAUCUGCAGAGCAUAAACAUAGUUCAGUGCUGACCUUGGUGGCCUUCUAGGCUGUCUGGUGUGUCAGGGUCCCCAGGGCUCAGACCGAGGAUGGUGCAGUCAGCACCAGGGUACCCUGGUCUGUGUUGCUCCCACCUUCCCCAGCUCAUGGGGAGCUCAGAGGCAGAGACGUGGAAAACCUCUGGCAGCCCUGUGCCUGUGGGGCUGGGACCAGUAUCACCUGCAGUGACAGGUAUGUGGAGGAUGUGGGCACUGUUUUUCUCCAUGUGUGACUGAAGGGGAAACAGGCUCAGAGAGGGUAAGCUCCUUCAUCAG
rnacentral:lncRNA from 1 species